GACGAACGCUGGCGGCGUGCUUAACACAUGCAAGUCGAACGGUGAAGCGCCUUCCUUUUUGGUUGGUGUGGAUGAGUGGCGAACGGGUGAGUAACACGUGAGUAACCUGCCCCCUUCUUCUGGAUAACCGCAUGAAAGUGUGGCUAAUACGGGAUAUUCUGGGUCUGUCGCAUGAUGGGUCUGGGAAAGAUAUUGUUUCGGUGGGGGAUGGGCUCGCGGACUAUCAGCUUGUGGGUGGGGUGAUGGCCUACCAAGGCGGUGACGGGUAGCCGGCCUGAGAGGGUGGACGGUCACACUGGGACUGAGACACGGCCAAGACUCCGACGGGAGGCAGCAGGGGGGAAUAUUGCACAAUGGGCGCAAGCCUGAUGCAGCGACGCCGCGGGAGGGAUGGAGGCCUUCGGGUUGUGAACCUCUUUCGCCAGUGAAGCAGGCCUGCCUCGUUUGUGGGUGGGUUGACGGUAGCUGGAUAAGAAGCGCCGGCUAACUACGUG
rnacentral:rRNA from 1 species